rnacentral:rRNA from 1 species
UUUAAUGAGAGUUUGAUCCUGGCUCAGGACGAACGCUGGCGGCGUGCCUAAUACAUGCAAGUAGAACGCUGAGGUUUGGUGUUUACACUAGACUGAUGAGUUGCGAACGGGUGAGUAACGCGUAGGUAACCUGCCUCAUAGCGGGGGAUAACUAUUGGAAACGAUAGCUAAUACCGCAUAAGA